rnacentral:rRNA from 1 species
AUGAACGCUGGCGGCGUGCCUAAUACAUGCAAGUCGCGCGAACAGACGAGGAGCUUGCUCCGCUGACGUUAGCGGCGGACGGGUGAGUAACACGUGGAUAACCUACCUAUAAGACUGGGAUAACUUCGGGAAACCGGAGCUAAUACCGGAUAAUAUAUUGAACCGCAUGGUUCAAUAGUGAAAGACGGUUUUGCUGUCACUUAUAGAUGGAUCCGCGCCGCAUUAGCUAGUUGGUAAGGUAACGGCUUACCAAGGCAACGAUGCGUAGCCGACCUGAGAGGGUGAUCGGCCACCCUGGAACUGAGACACGGUCCAGACUCCUACGGGAGGCAGCAGUAGGGAAUCUUCCGCAAUGGGCGAAAGCCUGACGGAGCAACGCCGCGUGAGUGAUGAAGGUCUUCGGAUCGUAAAACUCUGUUAUUAGGGAAGAACAAAUGUGUAAGUAACUAUGCACGUCUUGACGGUACCUAAUCAGAAAGCCACGGCUAACUACGUG